rnacentral:rRNA from 1 species
GAUCAACGCUGGCGGCGUGCCUAAAACAUGCAAGUCGGACGCUCCACUUCGGUGGGGAGUGGCGGACGGCUGAGUAGCACGUGGGCGACCUGCCCUUUGGUGGGGGAUAACCCUCCGAAAGGAGGGCUAAGACCGCAUGAGGUCCGCCGUUCGGUCGGCGGAGCAAAGCAGCAAUGCGCCAGAGGAGGGGCCCGCGGCCGAUUAGCUGGUUGGUGGGGUAGUGGCCUACCAAGGCUUCGAUCGGUAGCCGGUCUGAGAGGAUGGCCGGCCAGACUGGGACUGAGACACGGCCCAGACUCCUGCGGGAGGCAGCAGUUAGGAAUUUUGGGCAAUGGGCGCAAGCCUGACCCAGCAACGCCGCGUGGGCGACGAAGCCCUUCGGGGUGUAAAGCCCUUUUCCCGGGGACGAAUCUGACGGUACCCGGGGAAGAAGCCCCGGCUAACUACGUGCCAGCAGCCGCAGUAAUAC